UACGUAUGGAGCAAGCGUUAUCCGGAUUUACUGGGUGUAAAGGGAGCGUAGGCGGUAAGGCAAGUCUGAUGUGAAAGGCCAGGGCUCAACCCUGGGACUGCAUUGGAAACUGUUUAACUAGAGUGUCGGAGAGGCAAGUGGAAUUCCUAGUGUAGCGGUAAAAUGCGUAGAUAUAUGGAAGAACACCAGUGGCGAAGGCGGCCGCCUGGCCUGUUACUGACGCUGAGGCACGAAAGCGUGGGGAGCAAAUAGG
rnacentral:rRNA from 1 species